rnacentral:rRNA from 1 species
AUUGAACGAUGGCGGCAGGCAUAACACAUGCAAGUCGAACGAGUGGCGGACGGGUGAGUAAUGUCUGGGAAACUGCCCGAUGGAGGGGGAUAACUACUGGAAACGGUAGCUAAUACCGCAUACCAUCGGAUGUGCACAGAUGGGAUUAGCUUGUAGGUGAGGUAACGGCUCACCUAGGCGACGAUCCCUAGCUGGUCUUAGAGGAUGACCAGCCACACUGGAACUGAGAGACGGUCGAGACUCCUACGGGAGGCAGGAGUGGGGAAUAUUGGACAAUGGGUGAAAGGCUGAUGGAGCCAUGCCGCGUGUAUGAAGAAGGCCUUCGGGGUGUAAAGUACUUUCAGCGGGGAGGCGUUAGCCGAAGAAGAAGCACCUGCUAACUCCGUGCCAGCAGCCGCGGUAAUUC